rnacentral:rRNA from 1 species
GACAGAGGGUGCAAACGUUGUUCGGAAUUACUGGGCGUAAAGCGUGUGUAGGCGGUUCUCUAAGUCGGAUGUGAAAUCCCUGGGCUCAACCCAGGAAGUGCACUCGAAACUGGAGGGCUAGAGUAUCGGAGAGGGAAGUGGAAUUUCCGGUGUAGCGGUGAAAUGCGUAGAUAUCGGAAGGAACAUCAGUGGCGAAAGCGACUUCCUGGACCAAUACUGACGCUCAUGUGCGAAAGCGUGGGGAGCAAACAGG